rnacentral:rRNA from 1 species
GACGUAGGGCGCGAGCGUUGUCCGGAUUUAUUGGGCGUAAAGAGCUCGUAGGCGGCUUGUCGCGUCGAAUGUGAAAUCUCAGGGCUCAACUCUGACAUUGCAUUCGAUACGGGCAGGCUAGAGUUCGGUAGGGGAGACUGGAAUUCCUGGUGUAGCGGUGAAAUGCGCAGAUAUCAGGAGGAACACCAGUGGCGAAGGCGGCUCUCUGGACCGUAACUGACGCUGAGGCGCGAAAAGCGUGGGGAGCAAACAGG